UACGAAGGGGGCUAGCGUUGCUCGGAAUCACUGGGCGUAAAGCGCACGUAGGCGGCUUUCUAAGUCAGGGGUGAAAUCCUGGAGCUCAACUCCAGAACUGCCUUUGAUACUGGAGAGCUUGAGUCCGGGAGAGGUGAGUGGAACUCCGAGUGUAGAGGUGAAAUUCGUAGAUAUUCGGAAGAACACCAGUGGCGAAGGCGGCUCACUGCCCGGUACUGACGCUGAGGUGCGAAAGCGUGGGGAGCAAACAGG
rnacentral:rRNA from 1 species